rnacentral:pre_miRNA from 1 species
UAAAUACUUCCUCCGUUUCAUAAUUCUUGUCUCAAAUUUGUUCAAAAAUGGAUGUAUCUAUUUUCUAAAAAACGUCUGGAUACACGUAAUAUUUCGACAAGAAUUAUGGAACGGAGAGAGUAGCAU